rnacentral:rRNA from 1 species
GACGAACGCUGGCGGCGUGCUUAACACAUGCAAGUCGAACGCUGAAGCUUGGUGCUUGCACUGGGUGGAUGAGUGGCGAACGGGUGAGUAAUACGUGAGUAACCUGCCCUUGACUCUGGGAUAAGCCUGGGAAACUGGGUCUAAUACUGGAUACGACAUGUCACCGCAUGGUGGUGUAUGGAAAGGGUUUUACUGGUUUUGGAUGGGCUCACGGCCUAUCAGCUUGUUGGUGGGGUAAUGGCUCACCAAGGCGACGACGGGUAGCCGGCCUGAGAGGGUGACCGGCCACACUGGGACUGAGACACGGCCCAGACUCCUACGGGAGGCAGCAGUGGGGAAUAUUGCACAAUGGGCGAAAGCCUGAUGCAGCGACGCCGCGUGAGGGAUGACGGCCUUCGGGUUGUAAACCUCUUUCAGCACGGAAGAAGCGAAAGUGACGGUACGUGCAGAAGAAGCGCC